rnacentral:rRNA from 1 species
CUUCUCUUGAGAGCGGCGGACGGGUGAGUAAUGCCUAGGAAUCUGCCUGGUAGUGGGGGAUAACGUUCGGAAACGGACGCUAAUACCGCAUACGUCCUACGGGAGAAAGCAGGGGACCUUCGGGCCUUGCGCUAUCAGAUGAGCCUAGGUCGGAUUAGCUAGUUGGUGAGGUAAUGGCUCACCAAGGCGACGAUCCGUAACUGGUCUGAGAGGAUGAUCAGUCACACUGGAACUGAGACACGGUCCAGACUCCUACGGGAGGCAGCAGUGGGGAAUAUUGGACAAUGGGCGAAAGCCUGAUCCAGCCAUGCCGCGUGUGUGAAGAAGGUCUUCGGAUUGUAAAGCACUUUAAGUUGGGAGGAAGGGCAGUAAAUUAAUACUUUGCUGUUUUGACGUUACCGACAGAAUAAGCACCGGCUAACUCUGUGCCAGCAGCCGCGGUAAUACAGAGGGUGCAAGCGUUARUCGGAAUUACUGGGCGUAAAGCGCGCGUAGGUGGUUUGUUAAGUUGGAUGUGAAAUCCCCGGGCUCAACCUGGGAACUGCAUUCAAAACUGACUGACUAGAGUAUGGUAGAGGGUGGUG